rnacentral:rRNA from 1 species
GAUGAACGCUAGCUACAGGCUUAACACAUGCAAGUCGAGGGGCAGCAUGAUUUGUAGCAAUACAGAUUGAUGGCGACCGGCGCACGGGUGAGUAACGCGUAUGCAACUUACCUAUCAGAGGGGGAUAGCCCGGCGAAAGUCGGAUUAAUACCCCAUAAAACAGGGGUCCCGCAUGGGAAUAUUUGUUAAAGAUUCAUCGCUGAUAGAUAGGCAUGCGUUCCAUUAGGCAGUUGGCGGGGUAACGGCCCACCAAACCGACGAUGGAUAGGGGUUCUGAGAGGAAGGUCCCCCACAUUGGUACUGAGACACGGACCAAACUCCUACGGGAGGCAGCAGUGAGGAAUAUUGGUCAAUGGCCGAGAGGCUGAACCAGCCAAGUCGCGUGAAGGAAGAAGGAUCUAUGGUUUGUAAACUUCUUUAUAGGGGAAUAAAGUGGAGGACGUGUCCUUUUUUGUAUGUACCCUAUGAAUAAGCAUCGGCUAACUCCGUGCCAGCAGCCG